rnacentral:rRNA from 1 species
GACGUAGGGCGCAAGCGUUGUCCGGAUUUAUUGGGCGUAAAGAGCUCGUCGGCGGCUUGUUGCGUCGACCGUGAAAACCCGUGGCUCAACUGCGGGCUUGCGGUCGAUACGGGCGGGCUAGAGUUCGGUAGGGGAGACUGGAAUUCCUGGUGUAGCGGUGAAAUGCGCAGAUAUCAGGAGGAACACCGGUGGCGAAGGCGGGUCUCUGGGCCGAUACUGACGCUGAGGAGCGAAAGCGUGGGGAGCGAACAGG